UACAACAGCAUCAAACGGGGAAGGAGCUCCACUGAUGCGCCCGCUCUCUCUGAAGGGAGUUGCCUGCCCCCUAAAAGCCUUGAAACCCGGCUUCAGUCACUCAACUUGUACCCCCAAGCUCCCGCUGGUUCACGUUGGGCAAUUCGCACACAAUUUUCCAAACAAAAAAACCACCACCGUUACUCUAGCAUUCCAAAAAUCCUCGACCCCCUCCUCUAAAAACCGUCCAUCCCAAGAGUCCUCCCUCACCUCCUCUCCAACUCACUAUCACGCGGAAGCUGACGGUUCUUGAAUCAGAGUAAUAUAACAAAUCUAAAAGCGAGACGCGGCCGCGGCCAGCGGCAGGAGCAGCGCCAUCGCAAGAUCGUCACGGCUCCGCCGGCAAUAUCGCGAGCGCGCGAUGAGGGAGAAGAGCCUCCCCGUUAUCUCUUCAGAACAGAAGCGGGACGCCUAUGGGUUUGCCGUGCGGCCUCAACACUUGCAGAGAUACCGGGAAUAUGCAAAAAUCUACAAGGAGGAAGAAGAAGAGCGAUCGGAACAAUGGAAGAACUUCUUCCAGAGGCUGGCCGAGUCUGCGCUAGUGUCGUCCAACGAGUCGUGGGCAGAAGAUAUUGAUGCGGACACGCCAAACGACGCAGGAAAUGACUGUGAUCGGAAUGGACUUGACAGAUGUGAUGGAUCCGAGGAAGUUGGUGCAGAAAAGGAGCCGGUUGAGAAGGAAAAGGCGAAAAUCCAUAGAACCAAUACAUGGAGUCAGAUAAGACCAUCCCUCGCUGCCAUCGUGCAGUUGAUGAGUCAUCGGGUGAAAAAGAGGAAGAGCCCAUCCUGCAACGAACAGGAAUCUGGGAGAACUGGGAAUCGCCUCGCACCAAUUGAAGAGGUGGCAAGACAUUCUAAAGAAGAAGAGUCUGAGGAAGAGUUCUAUGAUAUGGACAGAUCGGAUGUGGUCCAGGAGGACGCAGCUUCAGGGGACGGUGGGAAUGCUGAUUCGGCAGCAAAGCAGGAGCCUUUCUUUCCUUGGAAAGAAGAGCUGGAGUGCCUUGUUCGUGGAGGGGUGCCAAUGGCUCUCAGAGGAGAGCUAUGGCAAGCUUUUGUGGGUGUAACGGCGCGGAGGGUGGAGGGAUAUUAUGAUGACUUGCUAGCUCCGGACACUGACACUGAUGAAUCUGAUGCCUCACUUCCAAAUGACACUGUUGGCAUGCCAAAAAGACCUCGGGGAGGAUGUGUGCCUGAGAAAUGGAAGACUCAGAUUGAGAAGGAUUUGCCUCGAACAUUUCCAGGGCAUCCCGCUUUAGAUGAUGACGGGAGAAAUGCACUGAGGCGUUUGCUUACAGCAUAUGCUCGCCAUAAUCCAUCAGUUGGGUACUGCCAGGCUAUGAAUUUCUUUGGGGGCUUGUUACUAUUGUUGAUGCCUGAGGAAAAUGCAUUUUGGACAUUAUUGGGUAUCAUCGAUGACUACUUUGAUGGCUACUAUUCUGAGGAAAUGAUUGAAUCUCAGGUGGACCAGCUUGUUCUUGAGGAGCUAGUGCAUGAGAAAUUUCCAAAAUUGGUUCAUCAUUUGGAUUAUUUGGGCGUGCAGGUGGCAUGGGUCACCGGACCUUGGUUCCUUUCCAUUUUCACGAAUAUGCUUCCAUGGGAAAGUGUUCUUCGUAUAUGGGAUGUGCUUCUCUUUGAUGGAAAUCGUGUAAUGUUAUUCCGAGCAGCACUUGCUUUGAUGGAAUUAUAUGGUCCUGCAGUUGUGACUACAAAAGAUGCUGGAGAUGCAGUUACAUUACUGCAGUCCCUUGCUGGCUCUACCUUUGACAGUAGCCAGCUUGUCUUGACAGCUUGCAUGGGUUAUCAAGCUGUAGAUGAAACAAUAUUGAAAGAGCUGAGAAAAAAACAUAGGCCUGCAGUUAUAGCUGCCAUGGAGGAAAGAUCCAGAGGACUUAAUUCAUGGAAGGACUCCAAGGGCCUAGCAUCUAAGUUAUAUAGUUUCAAACAUGAUCCAGGAUCGAUACUUACAGAAACCAACUCGGCAGAUGUGUCAGAUGACAUGCAAACCAAUGGGGAGUUGCAUUCCUUGAAGUCUGGAUCAACAGAUAUAGAAGGAUAUUUGAAUAGUCUAACAGUUGAUACAGAGACAGAUUCCUUACCUGAUCUUAAAGAACAGGUGACAUGGUUGAAGGUUGAGCUGUGUAAUUUGCUGGAGGAGAAAAGAUCAGCUGUUCUCAGAGCUGAGGAGUUGGAAACAGCAUUCAUGGAGAUGGUCAAGCAGGACAAUAGACGUCUUUUAAGUGCCAAGGUUGAGCAGUUGGAGAAAGAGGUAUCUGAACUUCGGCAGGUUCUUGCAGAUAAGCAAGAGCAAGAGCGUGCCAUUAUUCAGGUCUUGAUGAGGAUGGAACAAGAACAGAAGUUGACAGAAGAUGCUCGCAUAUCUGCCGAGCAAGAUGCUGCUGCUCAGAAAUAUGCUGCUCAUGUGCUGCAGGAAAAAUAUGAAGAAGCUACAUCUGCACUUGCACAAAUGGAGAAAAGGACUGUGAUGGCAGAAACAAUGCUGGAGGCUACAUUGCAGUACCAGUCUGGUCAGGUUAAAGCUCAACAACCUCAUUCUCCAAGAACUCCACAGACCAUUCAAGAGUUGUCUCAGCAUGCACCCACCAGGAAAAUAGGCCUGCUCUCCAGACCUUUUGGCUGGCUUGACAAAAACAAGAUGAAAUCCUUCGGAGGCGCUGGAGUGAGGCGACGUCCGGUGGGCCGACGAUAGCCGGAUCUGCAAAGAAAAGUCUUCACUAGAGUUGGCUCCGGCGGGGACCUUCCGACGCUCAAGUUAGUUUUCUUCGUAAUAGAUUGAAAAGAGCGAGCAAUUUUGUGAAGGAGAGGAGGCGUACUUCGGGAUCUCUUGUUUACCUCUUUUAUAUGGGAAGCCGGAGUCACAGGAGAAUAUGAGAUUGUCAAGAAUCCUAUCUCCCAUUAAUAUUUUUGGGAAUUAUGCCUAACAAUAUCAUUUCAUAGCACGUGGGGAACCGCCUAUAUUCAUGGCAUAGGCUGACAGGGGGGCUGUUGGAGGGUGUGGAAAACUCAUCCUUCUUAUGACUACUGUUAUUAAUUAAUGGGGGGAUGUGAUGGGCCAUAAAAGAUGGAUCGGCAAAUAAGAGGGCUUCGGACGGAGAAGCAUGAGGACUUCGGCAUGGCCGAAGUAAGUUUCGGUUCUGACGGGGGCAAGUGAGAGCAUAUUCUCUUUCCUCUCCCUAUGGCCACCACCUUUGCUCUCUCCUCCAUCUUUUCUUUUUGUCUUGUUGUGUGGCCCUUAGCCCAUGGGAGGAUGAGACAUGAGGAAAGGAGGCAUUAAUGCCUUUAUUAUUUUUAUAUGACCAUCUCUUCUCCAUUGCUGUCUUCUUAUAUUAUUAUUUUUUUUGUCCUAUUGUGAUGUCUCAUGGGAGAAGAGAAUGAGUGGAAAAAAGCAGUUAAUGCUUCUUGUCAGAUCCAUGUAACCCAAGGGCAGAUACUCGAGCAUGUGCACGAUGGAUAGCACGAUCUGAAGGCCUUUCGCCUCAUGUCUUCGGCUGAUACAAGUAUAUCCCCCAACAAUAACCCCCCUACUCCUGAAUCCGAGUCAUAAUUGGGUCGGACGAAGGGAGUACUACUAAUUUGCCGAAAACGUAUCGAGAUCAUCCCUUCACUUUGGCUUUUAAGGGCCUUGGCUGUGCUCGCUAAAGAGCGAGAGGCCUUAGGCCUUCGACGGUGCCACUCGCUGAUGAGCGAGGGGCCUUGGGGCCAUUAAUCUAGUUUUGUUGAUUGGGACAGCCUAUCUAGAGGCUCGGACGUUUGAUCCCCCCUAAUAGGUAGCUUCAGCCCACUCAUGAAUAAACAUGAGAACGUGUAUGCAGAGAGAGUUUGUGAGCAAUCACAACUCAACAAAUACGUAAACAUUGUGAAGUGCGGAUUGGUGUCUAAUGUUUGGGAGGCAUGCCAGUUUUUAAUUUUUAUACUCCCACAGUAUAUUUGUCACAUGGUUCUGGGUAGAGUUUUUAAGUGAUGGUCUAAUGUUUUGAGAAUGCCAUGUUGUUUAGUAGAGUUAGCUCCAUAAGGUCCUCUCCACUUUGAGAGAGGCGUGACUUAAGCCUUUGUUCGGAUCAUAUAUCUUAAUGGGUAAGCCAGCUUUAUGCUCCAGGCAUACACCCAGGCUAAUAGGUGGCACCCCGGACUCGGGACUCGAGUAGGGGGGCUAUUGUUGGGACGUAUACCUGUAUCGGCCGAAGACAUGAGGUGGAGGGCCUUCGGAUUGUGCUAUCCAUCGUGCACAUGCCCGAGUAUCUACCCCUGGGUCACAUAGAUCUGAGAACAGCAUUAAAUACUUUUUUCCCACUCAUUUUCGUCUCCCAUGAGACAUCACAAUAGGACAAAAAAAUAAUAAUAUAAGAAGACAGCUAUGGAGAAGAGGUGGUCAUAUAAAAAUAAUAAAGGCAUUAAUGUCUUCUUUUGUCACAUCUCAUCCUCUCAUGGGCCAAGGGCCACACAACAAGACAAAAAGAAAAGGUGGAGGAGAGAGUAAAGUGGUGACCGUAGGGAGAGGAAAAAGAAUAUGCUCUCACUUGCCCCUGUCAGAAUCGAACCUCAUUUCGGCCAUGCCGAAGUUCUCAUGCUCCAUAGUUCGAAUUCCUCUCAUUUGUCGAUCCAUCUUUUAUGGUCCGUCAUAUCCCUCCAUUAAUUAAUAACAGCAAUCAUGAGAAGGAUGAGUUUUCCACAUCCUUCAGUAGCUUUCCUGUUAGCCUAUAUCAUGAAUAUAGACGGCUCCCCACGUGCUAUGAAAUGAUAUUGCUAGGCAUAAUUUUCAAAGACAUUAAUGGGAGACGGGAUUCUUGACAAUCUCAUACUCUCCGGUGGCUCCGGUUUUCCAUAUAAAAGAGAUAAAUAAGGAAUCCAAAGUACGCCUCCUCUCCUUCACAAAAUUACUUGCUUUUUCCCACUUAUUACGGGGAAAGUUGACUUGAGCGUCAGAGGGUCUUUGUCAGAGCCACCUCUGGCGGAGAUUUUUCUUGCAGAUCCGGCCACCGUCGACCCACCGGACGUCGCCUCACUCUAAUGCCUCCGACCUAGGAUGGAUUUCAUCCGCAAUAGCGUUAUUUCGCCUGUCAUUUCUGUGAUUGGAAAUGCAUUCUUUGUAAUCCUUCACUUUUACUUUAUGUUAAAUAAUGCCUUCUGUAACUGCAAAGGGUCAGCCAAGCAAUACUGAAGAGUCCUUUGAAGGCAAAACUUCCAGCAUGGGACAGAGCCCCAAAACACCAAACAAAGAUCUGAAUGGACACCAAGAUUUGGAUAAGUAGAAUGUCUGAUGGAAGGGACUAGCAUAUCAGCAUGCCUCAGAAAUUUCUGGUUGUGUUGUCAUACCCUGUGAUUGUAUCGCUAUUAGAGAAGAUCGAUGAAAUUAUAAGAAUAGCAUUCGAUAUGAUCAGUUCCUUUCCCCUUUGUGUAAAAUUAUCCCAUUCAGAGUGCCAGUAAAUUUGGCAAUUUUCCCUGUAAUCUUUUAGAUGAUGGCUUCAAGUUGGUCGGCCAUUGUUUCAUUAGUGUAAUUAGUUGUCAUGGACACACGAAACAGACAAUAGAUUAUUGUUUAUUAUCGGAGCAACUUCAUUUUUU